rnacentral:misc_RNA from 1 species
GAAAUGCGAUACGUAGUGUGAAUUGCAGAAUUCAGUGAAUCAUCGAAUCUUUGAACGCACAUUGCGCCCUUUGGUAUUCCAAAGGGCAUGCCUGUUCGAGCGUCAUUUGUACCCUCAAGCUUUGCUUGGUGUUGGGCGUUUUUGUCUUUGGCCCGCCAAAGACUCGCCUUAAAAUGAUUGGCAGCCUGCCUACUGGUUUCGCAGCGCAGCACAUUUUUGCGCUUGCAAUCAGCAAAAGAGGACGGCAAUCCAUCAAGACUCCUUCUCACGUUUGACCUCGGAUCAGGUAGGGAUACCCGCUGAACUUCAGC